rnacentral:rRNA from 1 species
GAUGAACGCUAGCGGCAGGCUUAAUACAUGCAAGUCGUGGGGCAGCAGAGGUGUAGCAAUACAUCUGCUGGCGACCGGCAAACGGGUGCGUAACACGUACGCAACCUUCCCGUUACUGUGGCAUAGCCCAGGGAAACUUGGAUUAAUACCACAUAUUAUAUAGAGAGGGCAACCUUUUUAUAUCAAAGCUUCGGCGGUAACGGAUGGGCGUGCGGUUGAUUAGGUAGUUGGCGGGGUAACGGCCCACCAAGCCUACGAUCAAUAGCUGAUGUGAGAGCAUGAUCAGCCACACGGGCACUGAGACACGGGCCCGACUCCUACGGGAGGCAGCAGUAAGGAAUAUUGGGCAAUGGACGAAAGUCUGACCCAGCCAUGCCGCGUGAAGGAUUAAGGUCCUCUGGAUUGUAAACUUCUUUUCUCUGGGGCGAAAACCAGCUAUUCUUAGCUAUUUGACAGUACCAGAGGAAUAAGCACCGGCUAACUCCGUGCCAGCCGCCGCAGAACAC